rnacentral:rRNA from 1 species
AUUGAACGCUGGCGGCAUGCCUUACACAUGCAAGUCGAACGGCAGCACGGGGCAACCUGGUGGCGAGUGGCGAACGGGUGAGUAAUGCAUCGGAACGUACCUUUCAGUGGGGGAUAACGUAGCGAAAGUUACGCUAAUACCGCAUAUUCUGUGAGCAGGAAAGCAGGGGAACGCAAGACCUGGCUCUGAUUGAGCGGCCGGUGUCAGAUUAGCUAGUUGGUGUGGUAAAGGCUCACCAAGGCGACGAUCUGUAGCGGGUCUGCGAGGAUGAUCCGCCACACUGGAACUGAGACACGGUCCAGACUUCUACGGGAGGCAGCAGUGGGGAAUUUUGGACAAUGGGGGCAACCCUGAUCCAGCCAUGCCGCGUGAGUGAAGAAGGCCUUCGGGUUGUAAAGCUCUUUCGGCCGGGAAGAAAUCGCACGGGCUAAUACCCUGUGUGGAUGACGGUACCGGAAUAAGAAGCACCGGCUAACUACGUGCCAGCCGCCGCCGUAAAAC